CCUACGGGUGGCAGCAGUGAGGAAUAUUGCGCAAUGGGCGAAAGCCUGACGCAGCGACGCCGCGUGGAGGAUGAAGGCCCUCGGGUUGUAAACUCCUGUCAGUGGGGAAACGGUACCCACUGAGGAAGCUUCGGCUAACUACGUGCCAGCAGCCGCGGUAAGACGUAGGGAGCAAGCGUUGUCCGGAAUUACUGGGCGUAAAGAGCUCGUAGGCGGGAGCGUGCGUCCGAGAGGAAAUCUCAAGGCUCAACUUUGGGGCUUUCUCGGAUACGGCGCUUCUUGAGGGUAAGAGAGGAAAGUAGAAUUCCCGGUGUAGCGGUGAAAUGCGUAGAUAUCGGGAGGAAUACCAGUGGCGAAGGCGACUUUCUGGUUCUCCUGACGCUGAGGAGCGAAAGCGUGGGGAGCGAACGGGAUUAGAUACCCUUGUAGUC
rnacentral:rRNA from 1 species